rnacentral:rRNA from 1 species
GACGAACGCUGGCGGCGGGCCUAACACAUGCAAGUCGAACGCACUCGACCUUCGGGUCACAUGAGUGAGUGGCGAACGGGUGAGUAACACGUGAGGAACCUGCCCCGAAGACUGGAAUAACCCGAGGAAACUCGGGCUAAUACCGGAUAUCCCCACCAGGUCGCAUGGCCAGGUGAGGAAAUGCUCCGGCGCUUCGGGAGGGUCUCGCGGCCUAUCAGCUAGUUGGUGAGGUAACGGCUCACCAAGG